GCGAGCGACUCGACUCCGGAACUCGAGGAAGCCCCGCCCACGCCAAAGCCCCGCCCCGGACCUGGCUCAGCUCCGCCCCCGUCCCGCCCACGCCUCGUCCGACUUCGCGCAGGGCUGCGAAGCGCGAAGGUGCCGAGAAGAAACCGGAUCAACUUCUGUUACUACUGCUAAAACUCCGGAAAGGGUCAGAGCCGCCGAGUGGACGCCGCGUCUGCUGCGCGAUCUCCGGUGAUGGCGCGAAGGGUGACGUGUGGCAAGGAGGAACUCAGUUUGUGACCAGGGAAACUGAGUCACUGGAUGCCUGAGCAAAGAUGAUUUUGACAAGGGAAACAGGACUGUUCUCAUACCCUUCCCAAAUUCCCAGAGAACUGGAAAAGCCAGCGUGAGUGGUGAGAAAAUUGCCUGGAGCCAGGAAGAAACCAGUCCCAGAGGAAAACAGAACUGAAGUACUCGCCACCAUUGUGUAAUGAAGAAUCCUCAUUUUGGAAUAAGUGGAGUAAAUCCUAAACCAAACCCCUCUCUCCAAAGCACUCCCCUCCUUGGUUUCCCCCUUUCUCUGAAAGCUGACGGCCAAUGUCCAGCAGCAGAAGGCCACCCUCCUGUCUUGAUAUCCCCUCCUGGCCCACUCAGGAGUCUAAGGUCAGGACAAGUUACCUGUACA